UACGUAGGGGGCAAGCGUUGUCCGGAAUCAUUGGGCGUAAAGCGCGUGUAGGCGGCUUGGCAAGUCCGCUGUGAAAGUCCAGGGCUCAACCCUGGAAAGCCGGUGGAAACUGUCAAGCUUGAGUCCGGAAGAGGCGAGUGGAAUUCCUGGUGUAGCGGUGAAAUGCGCAGAUAUCGAGAGGAACACCAGAGGGGAAGACGGGUUGCUGGGCCGACACUGGCGCUGACAGCGCGAAAGCCAGGGGAGCAAACGGG
rnacentral:rRNA from 1 species